GCUGUGGCUCAAUGGUAGAGCAUGUGCUAUGCAUGCCAAAGGUCCCAGAUUCAAUCCCUGGCAUCUCCA